AACAACAAAACGGGUGAUUUGAUACCAGCUCGAUACAAGGUUGACAUAAGGGAAGCCAUAUUGUAGAAAAGAAACCAUAUUGUAACUUU